CGUCGCCGUUCCUCUCUCACUGCCUCCAUCUGCUUCCUUGGGACGGCGAUCCUUGGACGGGGUAUGCAGCCAAAGACAAGAGGACACUCCAGGCUCAUCACAUAACCCACGUCCUGAACGCAGCGGACGUCAAAUUCAUCAAGACCGCCCUGAGCUCGCCCAACGAUAAGCAAUCAAUCAAAGGCCUGGCAGGUGUUGGUCCACUGCGCUGGGUCUGAGUCGCCCCUCCAGUCUGGUCCUGGCCUACCUGAUGAUCGAUGAGGAACUGACCUCUGGUGGAGAGGAUACCAUCAUGGCCGCAAACAGGAACACCUGUGCCGAUGCUGGAUUCCCUGGAGCAGCGUUGAGACCUGGACAGACAUCUCCAAUACCAGAUGACAAUGAGGACAUCUAUAGGCACUUUUGGACAUACUAUAGUUUGGUAAUCUAGUAGGAGACAACUGUACUGUAUACUCAUACUGUAAUCUGGUAGGAGACAACUGUAUACUCAUACUGUAGUCUGGUAGUCUAGUAGGAGACAACUGUACUGUAUACUCAUACUGUAGACUGGUAAUCUAGUAGGAGACAACUGUACUGUAUACUCAUACUGUAGUCUUGUAGGAGACAACUGUACUGUAUACUCAUACUGUAGUCUGGUAAUCUAGUAGGAGACAACUGUACUGUAUACUCAUACUGUAGUCUUGUAGGAGACAACUGUACUGUAUACUCAUACUGUAAUCUGGUAGGAGACAACUGUAUACUCAUACUGUAGUCUGGUAGUCUAGUAGGAGACAACUGUACUGUAUACUCAUACUAUAGUCUGGUAAUCUAGUAGGAGACAACUGUACUGUAUACUCAUACUGUAGUCUUGUAGGAGACAACUGUACUGUAUACUCAUACUGUAAUCUGGUAGGAGACAACUGUAUACUCAUACUGUAGUCUGGUAGUCUAGUAGGAGACAACUGUACUGUAUACUCAUACUGUAGACUGGUAAUCUAGUAGGAGAGAACUGUACUGUAUACUCAUACUGUAGUCUGGUAGUCUGGUAAUCUAGUAGGAGACAACUGUACUGUAUACUCAUACUGUAGAUGGUUGAGCUGUUUUAUUCUUCAGUGUAAAGACAAUUUUCAGAAAUAAAUUAACACA